GAGAAGAGUGGAGGUUGGGGCUGGGGUCAGCUUAUUUCCAUUGGCAGCCCAUCAAGAAAUACCUACUUCUUUCAUUUGACCCAUCUGAGGCCCAAUCACUUUCUCUCUUUUCAAUGUUCUACAGAGGUGAAGAAGGUCUUGCUCACAGACUACAGGGGUGCCAUGCAGUAAGUGAUUUUGCAGUUUUCCAGUUCUUCUUCCCUAUGGUGAAGGGAAAAGGGAAAGGAAGAAGGUUCUGCAUGGAUUUCCUUUAUGCAACAAUGACCAGCUGAAGAAACUGACAUUCCAAAAGGCAACUGACCACAGUAAUUGCCUGAAGCAACUGAACCCAGAUUUUCCUGACUGCAGGUCCAGUGCUGUCGCCAUUACACUGUAACGAGAAGCUGUAGGACCACUUGGUACACCAACUAUUAGAGGGAAUUCUUAUUAAUUUAAAUAAAGCUGCCAUUUGUAAUGGGGCUCAUGUAUGAGAAUGAUUGUCCUUGGACUAAUAAUAGCAAUGCAUUAAUCACACUGUACAUGUAUAUAUGUGCACAUGUAAACAUAAGUAUUUGUAUGUAGACACACACACACACUCACACUCAGUUUUCAGGUCUGAUAGGGAACUAGAUUUGGUGCUAGGAAUCCUUUUUGUGCCAAAGGCAAAGCUAAAAAUUGCAUGGCAAUGCC